rnacentral:rRNA from 1 species
AGUUUGAUCAUGGCUCAGGACGAACGCUGGCGGCGUGCCUAACACAUGCAAGUCGAACGAGGUUAUGCUUGACACUGCGUGUCUGAGAGAUCGGACAUGGAGUGUCGAACGUAACCGAGUGGCGGACGGGUGAGUAACGCGUGAGUAAUCUACCUUUCAGUGGGGAACAACGUCUGGAAACGGACGCUAAUACCGCAUAACGUACCGAGGAGGCAUCUCCAUGGUACCAAAGGAUUCAUUCGCUGAAAGAUGAGCUCGCGUCCGAUUAGAUAGUUGGCGGGGUAAUAGCCCACCAAGUCUGCGAUCGGUAGCCGGACUGAGAGGUUGAACGGCCACAUUGGGACUGAGAUACGGCCCAGACUCCUACGGGAGGCAGCAGUGGGGAAUAUUGGGCAAUGGGCGAAAGCCUGACCCAGCAACGCCGCGUGAAGGAUGAAGGCCUUCGGGUUGUAAACUUCUUUGACGAGGGAAGAAAACUGACGGUACCUCGAAAACAAGCCACGGCUAACUACGUGCCAGCAGCCGCGGUAAUACGUAGGUGGCGAGCGUUGUCCGGAAUUACU